rnacentral:misc_RNA from 1 species
CGGCAUGAUCAUCUUGUCCGGUGUUUAGUUUGAAAAUGCGCAAUUGUUUAUCCCUCCUCAGCGACUCUAAUUCUCUAUCUACUUGGGUUCUGUCCUUCACACAGCUAUACAACUGUGAACGCAAAAUGAAAGGCCGAAUUGAGACCUUGUCAAUGUUGGGAAACUGAGCUCGAAUUAUGCGAAGCGCCACCAACGUAUCACUAAAUGUGAGACUUUCCUCAAGUGAUAGGGUCUGAUCUGCAUCGCUAGUUUCAGUUCUAAUCUCUUCUUCUUCUUCUUUUUCUUCUUCCUGGCGAAGGCGUUUUCUACCUCUGGAUGAGUCCGGAAUCUGAGGCAUUUUUCUGUUAGAUUUUCCGAGCAAACGGGAUUCCAUAAUUUAAAUUUAGCGCCGUAUUUGAACAGAAUCUCUUCGUUCGCGCUCCUGGUUUUCCAGGCUCCCUAUUUUUUUCACUCGGCUGAUUGCGAGCCCUUAAAAGAGGCUCUCAUUUGUACUCCUGUGGAACUUUGGUCAGCCA